rnacentral:rRNA from 1 species
AGGAUCAUUGCACACACAAAGUUGCAGCCAACCAUUUCGCGAAUCUUACCAAUCGUCCCCCCUUCACUUGGGUUGGGGCGGUUGGGGCGCUCUCAUCGGCCCUCGCCACUAGUUUGAUCACUAGCUGGUCAUAGGUCUGUUGGGAGUGUCUCGGCCCUCCCUGAAACGCCCAAGUUGUUCCAACCGAUUGCGCAAUGCAUCAACACCUCCAAUAUGACUGAGUAUACCCAAAUCGGGACUCCAAUUAAUUGGGGUCCUCGAGUUGUAAUAAACAAAAACAACUCUCAGCAACGGAUAUCUUGGCUCUUGCAACGAUGAAGAACGCAGCGAAAUGCGAUACGUAGUGUGAAUUGCAGAAUUCCGCGAAUCAUCGAGUCUUUGAACGCAAGUUGCGCCCGAGGCUUGUCCAAGGGCAUUUCUGCCAGAGCGUCACCGCGAUACCCACCAAACCACUUCGAGUGGUUUGAGUGAAACUGGCCAUCCGAAUGUGUUGUGUCCCACAACACAUUGGGUUGGCUGAAAUGGAGAGAAUUUGGCCGCCGUGUUGACACAGCCAGCGAUCAGGUGAUCCAAGUCGUAAAAGACUUGGAACUCAAACGUGCGCUGGAUCCUGUGGCAGCCAGUUGGUCGGACUCACAAGCAGGCUCCUACCGACACUUCGGCCUUAAAAUAGCCGGGUGGAGGAAGGAACAUCAAAAAAAGUC